ACCUCAGUCGGAUAAAGAGAGUGUGAAGCUUCUCACUGUUAAGACAAUUUCUCACGAGUCUGGUGAGCACUCUGCACAAGGAAAAAGCAAGAACUGACAACUUGAUGAAUCCUCCCUACAACUAGGCAAUAAAUAUGCUUCACCUUCAGCUUCUCUGCUCCAAGGCUGGGAAGGGGGAGACUCCAGCAGAAUCAGUCCCACCUCCCAGUCCUGCGGCCCGCCUGCACCAACUACUGUCCCAAUAAAGUGAUGUCCAGUGGGCAUGCAGUGAUUUGACAGAAUCAGAAAGAAUUCUUGGUCUCUCCUGACUUUUGCGACUGAGAAGCACAUGACCCCUUUUUAUAGAAACAUUCCUAGGAAAGCAAUUUUUAGGAGGGGUGUUGAGAGCAGUGAACCUGACAGCCCAGGAAGGUGGGCUCGCUGAAGGCACACCCUUCCUGGAGUUAAAAGUUUCCAGGGCUGACAAUUUUUGUGCAUGAGGAUUUUACUACUUUCUGGGUGUCCUUUUAUUACCUAAUGUCUGUAUUUAUUGUUUUCCACUAUGUUAAUGCAGAAAACAUUUGCAAAUAUGUUAUUAAAUAUUAGAUAAAAAUCA